UUCUUCUAAAAGGAAGUCUUUAUUUGAAACAAGGAAGUGGAAGCCUUUAUCAAGUCUUAGUGGUUUUUAUUGAAAGGAAUUUAAAAACAUCUUUAACUCAGAUACUUUAUUUACCACACAACUGUUUAACGAAUCAUCUAACUUGCAACACAUACCUGGCAUUUAACAUCCUGGAGAAAGCACCACAAAAGCUUUUUUAUAGCCCGUGUAACACCAUAUAACAUUCCCCCCACCCCACAUAUAUCUAGACAGCGAACUCAACAUUCCAAAUAAAGACCACAAUGUAAUUAAAGUAAAUUUACAUAAAUGGUAGAAGGGAAACUGCGUAAAGUUAAAAUUUAUAUGUGUUAUAUAUGUUCGCAAACUAAGACAAGAAUGCUCGUGGAACUCAAUAUGCAGAUAGAUAUUUUAAUUACGGUGUAAGUUGUUUUUUUUUAACAGAUACCUUUGGUAACAAAAUGAAAAGUUCUUAGAAAGUCCUGUAGUAAUUAUGUUUAGCCACAAGAUGGUGUUGGUAACAGUUAGAAUAACAGUUCAAAUAUAAAGUCUUGUAUUGAUGCGGUUUGGUCACCUGAUGGCGUGCAGAAUAACAAAACAAAUGGUAGCAGUGAAAAAUCAACAAUCCUGAAAUGCAGGCAAUAAGGUAAGAACUAAACAAAGAAGUACUGUCUGAAUAAGAGGAAUAACAACGUCUUACUUUCUUCUUAGAAACAGUCCAUAUGAGGAGGAACGGACCCCAGAACAUAAGGAUUUCACUCAGCAAGAUUACAGGAAACGACCACAGAAGUCGGACUGGGGUCACCAGGACAACUUCACAGUAGGUGGAGACUAGGGGAGCAGUGUGGUGAAACGAUUCUUACCACGAUGUACCGGGAGCGGUGGUGCAGGGUAUAGCCCAGUGUUAAGCAGGUUAGAGAAAUGCUGUAGGCUUGCGCCAGAAACCAGAGCGGUACUAACAAGUAGCCACAGUUGCUCCAGCACGGGUGUGAAGGUGAACUUCCUUAAUGUACCUGAUGGGGAGGGAGUGUAUAGGGAAUUUAACCCUAUGUGUCAAUAGAUUCUUUGGCAGUCUGUGAGAUUUACCUCAACGGCCACCGCUUCUAUAGCCCCAUUGCCCGCACAAAAAACAUAGCGGGGCAAAAGUUUCCUGGCUACCAGCCAAUAGGGAAAUGCUGCAGCUCUCGCUGUGAUGGCUCAGCUAGGGAGACAUACAAAAAAGAGCAAACCAUGGAAGAUAAUGAGAGGUGAACUAUUUGUUACCUACAAAUGCAUACAGACAAGUACCAUCAGAACUUUUAAGGGACAUUAUAGUCACCAAAGAUUUUUUUGCGUAAUGAAGCAGUUUUUGAGUAUAGAUCAUGCCUCUGAAGUUUCACUUCUCAAUUCACCGCCAUUUAGACGUUUAAUCAUUUUUGUUUCAUUUAUGCAGUCCUAGCCACAGCUCUCCUGGUUUCUCCUGCUCUGUAACUUUAACUUUAAGAGACUCCUGAAGGGUCUAGUAAGUUAUUAACAGAGCAGGAGGUAAGAAAUUCUAAAUGAAACAGAAUUUGUAAUAAGAGAAGUAUAAACAUUAGAUGAAUCUUUACAGGAAGUGUUUAGGAAGGCUGUACAACUCACAUGCAGGGAGAUGUGACUAGGCUGCAAGUGACUUAACUCGUAAAUGGCAGAGAAUUGACAUUAAUUGGCAUGAUCUAUACACCAAAACUGAUUUAUUAAGCUAAAGUUGUUUUGGUGACUAUAGUGUCCUGUUAAGUGAUAAAGAAAGAGUCAUUAAAAGAGUUGCCAUGCCGGAGGAGAUGACUUGCACUUAUUGUGACUCCAGGAUUUAGCCGCCCAAUGCAAAUAAUGUGUAUUUCACAAAGCCUGUUCAAGCAGGCUAAUCAUGUCUAUUGGGUGUAAUCCCAGAAAAUUGGGAAUUUUUGUAAGAAAAAAAAUCUUGACUUGAUUUGAUGCUCAAUCUAUGAGCAGAAUCUUAAAGUGACAUUAUAGUCAUCAAAACAACUUUAGCUUAAUGAAGCAAUUUUGUACAGAGCGUGCCCCUUUAGUCUCACUACUCAAUUCUCUGCCAUUUAGGAGUUAAAUCACUUUGUUCAUGGAGCACUAGUCACAACUCCCUGCAUGUGACUUACACAGCCUUCCUAAACACUUCCUGUAAAGAGACAUCUAAUGUUUACACUUCCUUUAUUGAAAUUCUAUUUAAUUUAGAAAAAAUUUUUUAUCUCCCUGCAGGAGCCUCCUGUGUGUAUUUAAAGUUCAGUUUACAGAGCAGGAGAUACAAAAGCUUCUAAAGUAAGGUAGCAUCUGGUUGAAAAAUGAAACUAUUUUUUCCAUGCAGGCUGUGUCAGUCACAUACAGGGGAGGUGUGGCUAGGGCUGCAUGAACAGAAACAAAAGUGAUUGAACUCCAAAACAGCAGAGAACUGAGCAGUGAGACUUCAGAGGCUUGAUCUGUACACCAAAACUGUUCCAUUGAGCUAAAGUUGUUUUGGUGACUAUAGUGUACCUUUAAGCUAGCAAUAGAUGGGGAGGAAACUGCAAACCUAAUGGCAACAAACGCAACAUUAUUUUUUCUAACACAAACAUAUCAUUAGUCAUUAAUCAACAGAUUUGAUUUAUUAGUUAUUUUUUGUAACAACAACUAUGGGAUGAAUGCAACCUCCCCUGCCCCUGUGGAUCAGCCUCCACUGUUACCAAAUAAGUUGCUGUUUUAUAAAUAAUUAUUCUUACACACUAUUCUUGCCAAGAAAAAAAAAAAAUAAUAAUAAUAAUUUCUUGUGCGGAUUGUGGAAUCCUAAGUAAGGUUUCUAGCUAAUGAUGAACUUCAAUAAUGCUUGAUCCAGAUAAUCCUGAAAUUCCAGAUUCUCUACAGCUGACUUGCACGUUUCAUCUUGACAUUAUUCCCAUGCACACUUUUUUCGUUCAGUGUGAUUUUCACUCGAUGUGCUCGGGUGACCUGCGGCUGCUUGAUGUUUUUUUUUUUCACUAUUGCUUCAUCGUAAAAGGCUGGUCUCUCUUCCUCCUAUUUCAUUCCAGUGUAUUACGCAAUAAAACCCAGUGUAUUAUGAGUACAAUAUUUUGUCAUUGUUAUGUGCAAAUGAAGAGGCAGCCAACACAUUAAAUGUUAUUUGGAAUAAGGAAGUAGCAGAAGAAAUUCUUUAAAGAGAUACUAGAAGUGCCAGGAAUUCAAAGUUGUAUUGCUGACACUAUAGCUCCCUCUGCCUCCCCUCCCCCCUGCUCUCCCAACCCCCUCCAACCUGGGGUUGGAAAUUGAGAGACCACCUUUGGUCUCAGACACACCCUAUCUUGAUAGACCUGUAAACAGGAGGCCAUGGUAGAAAAAGCUUUAAUCUCCGAAAUUCUUCUUGCAGACGUAAUUGCCACCAAAAACAGGGUCUUGUAAGUUAGAAGUGUAGUAUCCAAAUUUUCCAGAGGAAUGAACAUAUCAUCAGUCAGGUAGUUCAGAAUGAGAGGAAGGUCUCAAGGAAGGGGAACCGAAUCUGGUUGGAGGUCUCAACCUGAAAGUUGCCUUGAAGAAUCUGGAGAUCAAAGCAUCCAAAGCCCAUGAGACAUUGCAUAGUGCUGAUAGAGCAGAGGACUAAACUUUAAGAGUGCUGAGGCUAAGGCCUUUGUCCAGACCUUCUUGAAGGAAAUCAAGUAUCUGAGUAUUGCUAGGUUGCAAGAUGUCAAUGCUCUUAGCCGAAGCCCAUUCUCUGAAAGUAUCCCAGAUUCUAUGGAAGCACAAGGAAGUAGAACUCUUCCUAAACUGUAAAAGGGUAUUAACUACUGCUUCAGAGGCCUAAAUGUCGCAGUCUUUCCUUUUCAAGAUCCAUACCCCCCGAGGAUGGGAAAUUGGACCCUGGCUCAGCAGAUCCUUUAUUAUUGGAAGAAGCACAGACCGUUCCUGAUUCAUCUUGAUGAAGAGGGGAAACCAUGGCCUCCUUGGCCAAAUCGGGGUAAUGGCAAUUACUUUUUGUGCCUUCUGUCCAAACCUUUUGCAGAAAUCUGAGUAUCAUGGGUAGGGGAGGGAACGUAUAACCCUGAUCGAAUGACCAAGGAAGAGAGGGAGCAUCCGGGCGGAGAGAGUAGAAUUUCUUUACCUGACAGUUCUGGGAGGCCGCCAUCAGGUUGAUCUGGGGUAUGCCCCACCGAUGGACAAUACAUGAAAAACUGCUGGAUGAAGCAUCCAUUCUCCUGGAAGAAUUUCUGUUCUGCUCAGGAAGUCCGCAGUAACGUUCUCCGAACCCGGAAGAUGGAUUUCCAUUAGACCUUGAAGACUGUUCAUGGCCACUUCCAUCAAGGGAUACAUUUCCUUCAAGAGGAAUUUUCUCCUUGUGCCUCCUUAGUUGUUCAUGUACGAAGCAACUGCUUAGUUAUCUGUUUUGAUCAGGACCCAAGUGUAACAGAGCUCCCUGUACCCCUGGCUGGGUACCUCCACCAAGGAAUGCUUCCUAGCAGGAACAGGGGACAAACCACAGCACUUCUGCCCACAGUCGCCGUAGCUUGACUGGGGUCCUGGAACCGCUCCCUACUGGAGCCGACUGGGGAACUCGCUCUAGCAACCCCCAGGCACUGGAUGACACUCAGUCCUGAUAGCUCUAGUCCUUACAAGAACUUUCCCCGUUGAAUCCUCCACACCGGAACAGUGAUAAAAAAGUAGCCCUUUCUCCUCCCAGUAACCAGACUACACAUAGUGCCUGGAGUUCAAAUUGGAAUACGUUUAAUCUGGCCAGAUAGCCUGCUUUUAUACAUUUCUGAACACAGACAAGCACGCCCAUGACACUCCCACAGAAAACAGGAUAAUCCCUCCCUUAUGUUUGGAAAAUAAUUGAGUAAGGAACUGUACUAAACUCAAUUAUCUCCAGGCACAAAAAACACACAUUUCACAAACACCCCAAAAGUACCUUAAAAAUACAUAAAACCCCCACAAAAGUCAUAUCCCCUGAUAGCCCCGAUCUGGGUGACCAACAUAUCUAAAAAUCACCCACAUCGGUUCAGGGGUUUGGGAAUUUCCUGGAAGUCUUAAUUUGACUGACCGCACACGAGGCUCCUGCCCAAAACAGUUCUAUAAAAUCAGGGCUAGCGGUCGGUCUAGUUUGAUAGUUUAAAACUGUACAAACUACCGCACAUAGUCAAUAUUCUUACCCUGGAGCUUGUUCCCCUUGUUCGUGGGAACAUUUCCACCGAACAGUGUCUUCCUAAGUGUUAUAAAACUGAACACAGGCAAUGGUGUCCAGCGGUGAUCAGGAGUUUCAGUGUCCGAAAAUAGUUCCAUGUACUUAACGACCAAACACCGCUGCCUGUGUUCAUGCAAACAAGAUGGCUGCCACCUCGUAGUCGUCAAUAGGAAAUGCGGCCUCCCAGCCAAACACUUAGAACACUGCAGUGGGAAUUGCUAGCAAUUAGGCUUAACAAGCUCCCGGGUGGUUUCCGGUUCGUGCGGCUCUUCGGUUCCCGAACCAUAUAGUCCAAAUACACUGAGACUUUUCAGUGUAUAUUACAGGACCCAUAGUUUGUGGGCAGGAGGCUGGCAAGCAGGCUCCUCCAGGAGCCCGUGGCAAACGCACAUGGAAAGGGGAGUUUGUCAAACCAAGAUUCAUUGAUCCUUGGAAGGAAUACCAAAAUGGCUCUGUAUAUGACCCUUAGUUCCCUUAAAUUUGAGUGCAGACAGCUUUCUUCACGGGUCCACUUCCCUUGUUUCCAUGUUGAAUUGAAAUGGACCCCCCAUCCCAAAAAACUUGCAUCUGUUGUAAGUAUGUUCCAAGAAGGUUCCUCCAAUGGGAAACCUUCUGCCAAAUUCUCUUUGCCCUUCCACCAGUUCAAUCCUUUUCUUACCAGAAAAGAAAGAGUUAUCCUUUGAUCCCAAUUUGCUUUUACUCUGUUGAAUCGAAGAAGGAAGCAAUUCUGCAUAGGAUGAGAUUUCCAUUGGGCCCAUUUUACCAGCCCAAUUGUUGAGGUCAGAGAACCUAGGAGACUCAUUGCUGAGGCCCUCUUGAGAAUUUGUAUUUUUCGAUUUUGCCUCGGAUUCUCAGGGCCCUUUCUGAGGGGAGAAACACAUGGGCUGAGAUUGUAUCUAUCACUGCUCCAAGGAAGACAAUUUUUUUAGAAGAAAUUAGGGAGCUCUUCUCUAGGUUUAGAAGCCAGCCGUGAUCGUAGUUUAUAGGGAUUUGGUAGUAGAUGUCCCACAGAUCUAUAGAAGUCAUCCAAUCCCCUUUUUUGAUGCAUUUUAUAAUGGUCUGUAAUUUUGAAUGUUCUCACGUCGAGCAUCGAAUUUACUUCUUUCAAGUACAAAAUUUGACGCCACUUCCCUUGUGAUUUUUUGAGUCAAAACACUGUGGAGUAAACACCUUUGAACCUCUCUGUUUUUGGAACUUCUUCUAUUACCCCUUGUUCCAUCAUGGCCUUUCGCUUGGUUCCCGAUGAUACCCUUGCUGUCCUGAAGCAAGCGGUUCUUGAGUAAGAUGAGAACUCUAUUCUGUAACCCUCUUUUAUGAUGGAAUUGACGCAGACAUCUGUGAAAUAUGCGGCCAAAACAGGGUAGAAGAACCUUAGCCUUCCUCCUACAAUUCCUGAAUGGGCUUGAAGACCUUCAGAGGUUCUUCUCAAAUGUUCUAGAACCUCUCCCUCUGGAAGCUUUUUUUGCUGAUUACUGGGGGAAGCUUCUCCAAGCAGAAACUCUGGAAUAUUCUCUUCCUGGUUCACAGCUUUUGCUAUCUCAAAACGAUCCUUGAAACGUUUAUUUUUCCAGGAUGAGGAAAAAGGCUUCCUUCUUUCUUGUGGCAAAAAAGCUUUUUGCCAUCUGCCGCAUUUUGUAUGGCUUCAUCCAGAAUUUGACCAAACAAUAAAUCCUCCUGGAAUGGAAGGCCACACAGAGAUGCCUUGGAGGCGUAGUCAGCUCCCCACGAAUUAAGCCAUAAGGCCCUUCUAGAGGCCACAGAUAAGGCCAUACCUUUAGCAAUCAUGCGGGUGAUGUCUAAAAAGGCAUCUGAGCAACAUUCUGUAGGAAGGCUGAAGUCAUUGAGACUCUCCAGGAGAUGUUCUCUGCAGAUUACCCAGUCAAUAUCCUCCUCUAGAUUUGCAAUCCACACUCUUAAGGCCCAUGAGAGAGUGGUUAGUGCCACUGCAGGAUAUGUGAUGAUUAGCCAGGAAAUAUCUAUAGAAUACCUAGAUACUAUAUCAAAAAAUCUGAAUGAAUCACACUGUCCUCUAAGUCCAUUUUGUUCAUCAUCCAUCCAACAUCCAUCUCUUUCCACUCUGUAGCUAAGCUCGUGUGUUUUCUGUUUGAAUCAAGGCGUAAAAAUGUACACUGGAAACGCAGCUAAUGCUGGUAAAUAUUUGCGUGAUGCACAGCGUCGCAAAUAUGUCAUACUCCUCAUUCAGACCUAUUUGCAGAGAAAAAUAAGGGAAAAAUAAGGGUGAUACAUCACACUUCUGCAUACAGAACUGAUUGUUUGAUGGAUGCGGGUGGAUUGGGGUGAGUUGUUAGAUAAACACAAUAAAUAUCCCACUGUCAUCACUUGCCUAUCUCUGUAUGAUUUAUUGCACACUUAGCAUCGAAUUUACCUAGAGGAGGGAGUUUAGUUCACUUAGGAUUAUUGGUAAGUGACAAGAAAAUUGAACAUUUUACAUAAACAAACAGUCACAUUUGAAAAACUCUAUAACUUUUUUUAUUUCAGAUGUUUUACUCUG